UGAGGAAUAUUGGUCAAUGGCCGUAAGGCUGAACCAGCCAAGUAGCGUGAGGGAAGACUGCCCUAUGGGUUGUAAACCUCUUUUAUGCGGGGAUAAAGGUGUCCACGUGUGGAUGUUUGCAGGUACCGCAUGAAUAAGGACCGGCUAAUUCCGUGCCAGCAGCCGCGGUAAUACGGAAGGUCCGGGCGUUAUCCGGAUUUAUUGGGUUUAAAGGGAGCGUAGGCCGGUCUUUAAGCGUGCCGUGAAAUUUUGUGGCUCAACCAUGAGAGUGCGGCGCGAACUGGAGACCUUGAGUGCGCGGAAGGCAGGCGGAAUUCGUGGUGUAGCGGUGAAAUGCUUAGAUAUCACGAAGAACCCCGAUUGCGAAGGCAGCCUGCCGCAGCGUUACUGACGCUGAAGCUCGAAAGCGCGGGUAUCGAACA
rnacentral:rRNA from 1 species